AGAGUUUGAUCAUGGCUCAGAGUGAACGCUGGCGGCGUGCUUAACACAUGCAAGUCGAACGAUGAAGCCCUGCUUGCAGGGUGGAUUAGUGGCGAACGGGUGAGUAAUAUAUAGCUAACCUGCCCCUUAGAGAGGGACAACAGUUGGAAACGACUGCUAAUACCUCAUACUCCUUUUUAUCAUAAGAUAGAUCGGGAAACGCUCCGGCGCUAAGGGAUGGGGCUUUACGGUAUCAGGUAGUUGGUGGGGUAAAAGCCUACCAAGCCUAUGACGCCUAGCUGGUCUGAGAGGAUGAUCAGCCACACUGGAACUGAGACACGGUCCAGACUCCUACGGGAGGCAGCAGUGGGGAAUAUUGCACAAUGGAGGAAACUCUGAUGCAGCAACGCCGGUGUGCACGAUGAAGGUCUUCGGAUUGUAAAGUGCUUUCAGGUGGGAAGAAGAAAGUGACGGUACCACCAGAAGAAGCGACGGCUAAAUACGUGCCAGCAGCCGCGGUAAUACGUAUGUCGCAAGCGUUAUCCGGAAUUAUUGGGCGUAAAGCGAGUCUAGGCGGCUUGUUAAGUCAGAUGUGAAAAUGCGGGGCUCAACUCCGUAUUGCGUUUGAAACUGGCAGGCUAGAGUACUGGAGAGGUGGGCGGAACUACAAGUGUAGAGGUGAAAUUCGUAGAUAUUUGUAGGAAUGCCGAUAGUGAAGACAGCUCACUGGACAGAUACUGACGCUAAAGCUCGAAAGCGUGGGGAGCAAACAGGAUUAGAUACCCUGGUAGUCCACGCCCUAAACGAUGCACACUAGUUGUUGCCUUGCUCGACAAGGCAGUAAUGCAGUUAACACAUUAAGUGUGCCGCCUGGGGAGUACGGUCGCAAGAUUAAAACUCAAAGGAAUAGACGGGGACCCGCACAAGCGGUGGAGCAUGUGGUUUAAUUCGACUAUACGCGAAGAACCUUACCUGGACUUGACAUAGAAAGAAUAACGCAGAGAUGUGAUAGUGCUAGCUUGCUAGAACUUUCAUACAGGUGCUGCACGGCUGUCGUCAGCUCGUGUCGUGAGAUGUUGGGUUAAGUCCCGCAACGAGCGCAACCCUCGUGUUUAGUUACUAACAGUUCGGCUGAGGACUCUAAACAGACUGCCUGGGUAACCAGGAGGAAGGUGAGGACGACGUCAAGUCAUCAUGGCCCUUAUGUCCAGGGCUACACACGUGCUACAAUGGGGCAUACAAAGAGCAGCGAUACCGCGAGGUGGAGCAAAUCUGUUAAAAUGCCUCUCAGUUCGGAUAGCACUCUGCAACUCGAGUGCUUGAAGUUGGAAUCGCUAGUAAUCGUGGAUCAGCAAUGCCACGGUGAAUACGUUCCCGGGUCUUGUACUCACCGCCCGUCACACCAUGGGAAUUGAAUUCAUUCGAAGCGGGGAUGCUCAAAUAGCUACCUUCCACAGUGGAAUUAGCGACUGGGGGAAGUGU
rnacentral:rRNA from 1 species